rnacentral:rRNA from 1 species
GAUGAACGCUAGCGGCAGGCUUAACACAUGCAAGUCGAGGGGUAACAGGGUGCUUGCACCGCUGACGACCGGCGCACGGGUGCGUAACGCGUAUAGAACCUACCUUUUACAGGAGAAUACCCCAGAGAAAUUUGGAAUAAUGCUCCAUAGUAUUAUUGAAUGGCAUCAUUUGAUAAUUAAACAUUUAUGGGUAAAAGAUGGCUAUGCGUUCUAUUAGCUAGAUGGUAAGGUAACGGCUUACCAUGGCAACGAUAGAUAGGGGUCCUGAGAGGGAGAUCCCCCACACUGGUACUGAGACACGGACCAGACUCCUACGGGAGGCAGCAGUGAGGAAUAUUGGACAAUGGAGGCAACUCUGAUCCAGCCAUGCCGCGUGCAGGAAGACGGUCCUAUGGAUUGUAAACUGCUUUUAUACAGGAAGAAACACUCCCUCGUGAGGGAGCUUGACGGUACUGUAUGAAUAAGCACCGGCUAACUCCGUGCCAGCAGCCGCGGUAAUACGGAGGGUGCAAGCGUUAUCCGGAAUCAUUGGGUUUAAAGGGUCCGUAGGCGGGCUAAUAAGUCAGGGGUGAAAUCCAACAGCUUAACUGUUGAAUUGCCUUUGAUACUGUUAGUCUUGAGUUAUAUGGAAGUAGAUAGAAUGUGUAGUGUAGCGGUGAAAUGCUUAGAGAUUACACAGAAUACCGAUUGCGAAGGCAGUCUACUACGUAUA